CAGCAGGCGCGAAAACUUUACACUACACGAAAGUGUGAUAAGGGGAUUCUACGUGCUCUACACAGUAUGGGCUUUUGCCGAGAGCAAAAAUCUCGGAGAAUAAGUGGUGGGCAAGACUGGUGCCAGCCGCCGCGGUAACACCAGCGUCACAAGUGGGAAUCACAGUUAUUGGGCCUAAAGCGUUCGUAGCCGGUUGUUAAAUCUCUUGUGAAAUCGUGACGCUUAACUUACGGCAUGCAGGAGAGACUGGCAGACUUGAGACCGGGAGGAGUCGGAGGUAUGCUUGGGGGAGCAGUAAAAUGCUAUAAUCCCUUGUAGACCACCGGUGGCGAAGGCGUCCGACCAGAACGGCUCUGACGGUGAGGAACGAAAGCUAGGGGAGCAAUCCGGAUUAGAUACCCGAGUAGUCCUAGCCGUAAACGCUGCGAGCAAGGUGUUGCACAUUCUCCGUGAAUGUGCAGUGUCGAAACGAAGGUGUUAAGCUCGCCGCCUGGGGAGUACGGUCGCAAGACUGAAACUUAA
rnacentral:rRNA from 1 species